UACGUAGGGUGCGAGCGUUGUCCGGAAUUAUUGGGCGUAAAGGGCUCGUAGGCGGUUUGUCGCGUCGGGAGUGAAAUCCACUGGCUUAACUGGUGGCUUGCUUUCGAUACGGGCAGACUGGAGGUAUGCAGGGGAGAACGGAAUUCCUGGUGUAGCGGUGAAAUGCGCAGAUAUCAGGAGGAACACCGGUGGCGAAGGCGGUUCUCUGGGCAUGUCCUGACGCUGAGGAGCGAAAGCCAGGGGAGCGAACGGG
rnacentral:rRNA from 1 species